rnacentral:rRNA from 1 species
GACUACAGGGGUAUCUAAUCCUGUUUGCUACCCACGCUUUCGCUCCUCAGCGUCAGUUAUGUGCCAGAUAGUCGCCUUCGCCACUGAUGUUCCUCCAGAUAUCUACGCAUUUCACCGCUACACCAGGAAUUCCGCCUGCCCCUCCUGCACUCCAGCCACGCAGUUCCAAGAGCAGUCCCGGGGUUGGGCCCCGGGCUUUCACUCCUGGCUUGCAUCGCCGUCUGCGCCCCCUUUACACCCAGUAAAUCCGGAUAACGCUUGCCCCCUACGUAUUACCGCGGCUGCUGGCACGUAGUUAGCCGGGGCUUCUUCUUCAGGUACCGUCAUUUUCUUCCCUGCUGACAGGGCUUUACGCGCCGAGGCGCUUCUUCACCCACGCGGCGUCGCUGCAGCAGGGUUUCCCCCAUUGUGCAAUAUCCCCCACUGCUGCCCCCCGUAGG